GAUCACUGCUAUUGGGAUUCGACUAAGCCAUGCGAGUCGAGAGGGUUCGGCCCUCGGCGAACUACUCAGUAACACGUGGAUAAUUUGCCCUUAGGUGGAGGAUAACCUCGGGAAACUGAGAAUAAUACUCCAUAGAUCUAGGAUGCUGGAAUGCACUUAGAUUGAAAGUUCCGGCGCCUAAGGAUAAGUCUGCGGACUAUCAGGUUGUAGUCAGGGUAAAGACCUGACUAGCCUACAACGGAUACGGGUUGUGAGAGCAAUAACCCGGAGACGAUAUCUGAGACACGAUAUCGGGCCCUACGGGGCGCAGCAGGCGCGAAACCUUCACAAUGUGCGAAAGCGCGAUGAGGGGAUCCCAAGUGCUUGCUCGUAAGAGUAAGCUGUUUUUAUGUCUAAAAAGCAUAGAGAGUAAGGGCUGGGUAAGACGGGUGCCAGCCGCCGCGGUAAUACCUGCAGCUCAAGUAGUGAUCGCUAUAUUGGGCCUAAAACGUUCGUAGCCGGUUUGGUAAAUGCCUGGGUAAAUAGUGUAGCUUAACUACACGAAUUCCGGGUAGACUGCCAAACUUGAGACCGGGAGAGGCUAGAGGUACUCCUGGGGUAGAGGUGAAAUUCUGUAAUCCUGAGGGGACCACCAGUGGCGAAGGCGUCUAGCUAGAACGGUCUGACGGUGAGGAACGAAGCCCUGGGUCGCGAACCGGAUUAGAUACCCGGGUAGUCCAGGGUGUAAACGCUGCUUGCUUGAUGUUAGUUGGGCUCCGAGCCCGAUUAGUGUCGGAGAGAAGUUGUUAAGCAAGCUGCCUGGGAAGUACGAUCGCAAGAUUGAAACUUAAAGGAAUUGGCGGGGGAGCACAGCAACGGGUGGAGCGUGCGGUUUA
rnacentral:rRNA from 1 species